AUCAUUAACGAAUCAAACAAGUUCAUCUUGUUCUGAUCCUGUGCACCUUAUGUAGUCCCAAAGCCUUCACGGGCGGCGGUUGACUACGUCUACCUCACACCUUAAAGUAUGUUAACGAAUGUAAUCAUGGUCUUGACAGACCCUAAAAAGUUAAUACAACUUUCGACAACGGAUCUCUUGGCUCUCGCAUCGAUGAAGAACGCAGCGAAAUGCGAUAAGUAAUGUGAAUUGCAGAAUUCAGUGAAUCAUCGAAUCUUUGAACGCACCUUGCGCCCUUUGGUAUUCCGAGGGGCAUGCCUGUUUGAGUGUCAUUAAAUACCAUCAACCCUCUUUUGACUUCGGUCUCGAGAGUGGCUUGGAAGUGGAGGUCUGCUGGAGCCUAACGGAGCCAGCUCCUCUUAAAUGUAUUAGCGGAUUUCCCUUGCGGGAUCGCGUCUCCGAUGUGAUAAUUUCUACGUCGUUGACCAUCUCGGGGCUGACCUAGUCAGUUUCAAUAGGAGUCUGCUUCUAACCGUCUCUUGACCGAGAUCUAGCGACUUGUGCGCUA
rnacentral:rRNA from 1 species